rnacentral:rRNA from 1 species
GACGAACGCUGGCGGCGUGCUUAACACAUGCAAGUCGAACGGAAAGGCCCUGCUUUUGUGGGGUGCUCGAGUGGCGAACGGGUGAGUAACACGUGAGUAACCUGCCCUUGAAGUUGGGAUAACUUCAGGAAACUGGGGCUAAUACCGGAUAGGAGCUCCUGCUGCAUGGUGGGGGUUGGAAAGUUUCGGCGGUUGGGGAUGGACUCGAGGCUUAUCAGCUUGUUGGUGGGGUAGUGGCUUACCAAGGCUUUGACGGGUAGCCGGCCUGAGAGGGUGACCAGCCACAUUGGGACUGAGAUACGCCCCAGACUCCUACUGGAGGCAGCAGUGGGGAAUAUUGCACAAUGGGCGGACGCCAGAUGCAGCAACGCCGCGUGCGGGAUAACGGCCUUCGGGUUAUAAACCGCUUUCGCCUGUGACGAAGCGUGAGUGACGGUAAUGGGUAAAGAAGCACCGGCUAACUACGUG